CCUACGGGAGGCUGCAGUGGGGAAUAUUGGACAAUGGGCGAAAGCCUGAUCCAGCCAUGCCGCGUGUGUGAAGAAGGCCUUCGGGUUGUAAAGCACUUUCAGUGGGGAAGAAAGCCUUGGGGCUAAUACCCUCGAGGAAGGACAUCACCCACAGAAGAAGCACCGGCUAACUCCGUGCCAGCAGCCGCGGUAAUACGGAGGGUGCGAGCGUUAAUCGGAAUUACUGGGCGUAAAGCGCGCGUAGGCGGUCUGAUAAGCCGGUUGUGAAAGCCCCGGGCUCAACCUGGGAACGGCAUCCGGAACUGUCAGGCUAGGGUGCAGGAGAGGAAGGUAGAAUUCCCGGUGUAGCGGUGAAAUGCGUAGAGAUCGGGAGGAAUACCAGUGGCGAAGGCGGCCUUCUGGACUGACACUGACGCUGAGGUGCGAAAGCGUGGGUAGCAAACAGGAUUAGAUACCCCGGUAGUC
rnacentral:rRNA from 1 species